rnacentral:rRNA from 1 species
UGGGGAAUAUUGCACAAUGGGCGCAAGCCUGAUGCAGCGACGCCGCGUGGGGGAUGAAGGCCUUCGGGUUGUAAACUCCUUUCGCUAGGGACGAAGCCUAUGGUGACGGUACCUGGAGAAGAAGCACCGGCUAACUACGUGCCAGCAGCCGCGGUAAUACGUAGGGUGCGAGCGUUGUCCGGAAUUACUGGGCGUAAAGAGCUCGUAGGUGGUUUGUCGCGUCGUCUGUGAAAUCCCGGGGCUUAACUUCGGGCGUGCAGGCGAUACGGGCAUAACUUGAGUGCUGUAGGGGAGACUGGAAUUCCUGGUGUAGCGGUGAAAUGCGCAGAUAUCAGGAGGAACACCAAUGGCGAAGGCAGGUCUCUGGGCAGUAACUGACGCUGAAGAGCGAAAGCAUGGGUAGCGAACAGG